rnacentral:rRNA from 1 species
UACGGAGGGUGCGAGCGUUGUCCGGAAUCACUGGGCGUAAAGGGCGCGUAGGCGGCCUGAUAAGUAGGGGGUGAAAUCCUGCGGCUUAACCGCAGGGCUGCCUUCUAAACUGUCAGGCUAGAGCACAGUAGAGGCAGGUGGAAUUCCCGGUGUAGCGGUGGAAUGCGUAGAGAUCGGGAAGAACACCGGUGGCGAAGGCGGUUCUCUGGGCAUGUUCUGACGCUGAGGAGCGAAAGUGUGGGGAGCGAACAGG